GAUUUUUUCCCUUUUGGAAGUUUCCUUAUUGUUUCAAUUCGGUCUCCUUCCCUUUUUAAUGAACGAGUAAAUAAUGUUUUCAAGUAGUAGAAAUUUUUGUCAAACGCUGUUGGAAGGAAAAAAUGAAUGGAUUAUGAGAAAUGAUAAUUUGUGGAUUUUACAUUGGUGAGUGGUUGUUGUCUAAUGUAGCACAACCGGUCUUUCGCUUGUAUGUAGGAUGGUAGGAAAGAAUUUUGGAUGUUAUCAUAGCUGUAGAGAGAAGGUGCACUUCUUCGCUAAUUGCCCAAAGAAACGACAAUGCUCAUGGUGUAAAAUUGGAUAUGUGAAGUGCUUUGAGGUUGAGAGGGAAAUGAAGAAUAAGAGAAAAUUGUUCAAUUGCUGAACUGCUGACUGUAAAUACUGGGAAUGGGUUGACGUGGGAGAAUCGAGUAGCGGAUUGAGUACUAUUGUUGUUGACUCGAAUAAUCAGGUGGCACUUGAAGAAGUCCAGCAGUUCUCUAUGAUGUUCCAGUCCCUUUGUUGGGUAACCGAAGAACAAAAUAUUGAAAUUUCUUUGAACGUGACAAUAAGGAAGGCCAAUGGAAGUGCGGGAGUGGAUAAGAAAGGGAAGGGCCGGCAAGAACACGAUCUUUUUCUUAGGAUGCAUCGCUACCACCUUUGAUGUGCAAUAUGUGUUGUGUUAUGUGGAGUUGAUGUGUAAUAUGUGUUAUGUUGUGUGAACAAAUCAUUGUAAUGUACUCGCAUUUCAUGUUUCAACAGUUAUGUGAAUGAUGUUGGUGUGAAUUUUAGUGGAUUGUAGUUUGUUUUCUUCAUUAUGUUACUGGAAUUGAAUAUGAAAUUUCAAUUAUGUACCAGCAA
rnacentral:lncRNA from 1 species